GUGCCCAGAGCCUACGGAAUCGUCCAGUAGUAAAGACAGCCAGGGUCAGUGCGAGGCGAGGAAACACAGCGGCAAAGCCCAGUAGGGCUCUCUGAGGCUCAGGGCCAGCUGGAGAGUAGAGAAAGGGCAGCUAUUGGACUGCCGACGGCGGAGGGGCAAGAGCCCAAUUUGCGGAGCUAGAACCACCUCCUCUCCUCCUGCGAGACAAGAAGCUGCAGACCCAUUUCUCUCCGCAGCCGGCGGAGUGCAGCCCCCACCACCCGCGCAGGCUUGGCUGCGGCAAGAGCGGGCGCUGUCCCUGGUGCUGAAAGUGGCCGCGGCCAGUGCGCCCUACGCAGGUUUAGCGCCCCCGAGGCGGCUCUAACAUCCGAGGAUUGCAGACUUCUCCCCAGCUCGGAUCUGGGGCAUGGAGGUCUUUUGGAGGUGCCCAAGUCCUACCACUGGCUCGGCCCCCGCGGCCAGGAGCUCUCAGCGCUGCUGCUGGGACUGAGAGCUCAGGGACUGACUCGAGCCUGAAGGAUUCCUUCACACAGUUUCAAGUUCUUCUGGCGUACCCCGACCCCCUCCCCGCCCCUCUCCACCCGCGCUGCGUGCUGAGCUGGAGGCAAGCAGCCCCGAAGGCUCCGCGGCGGCGGCGGCGGCGGCGGCGGCGGCGCGGCGGCUCCUCUCCCGGCUGCUUGCAAAGUCCGGCCGGCUGGAGGCAGCCACCAACUCCUCUCAACUUCUGCCGAUCGGCUGGGCGAAGCAACACGCUUCCUGCGCGUCUCUCCUAGGGGCUGAGCCGGCUCCUCGGGCAUCAGGCUGCAGCCAUGAUCCAUCACCACCUCGUGGCAGGUAAUCCAGCAGUGCUCUUCAGGACCAGAUGGGAGCCAAGCCAAGACCGCGUAGCCAGCUACCUGGCUGAGCAUCCAGACAGCCCCACACCCGAACAGUUCUCCUGUACAAAAGCUUUUGCAGUCCUAUUCCUCCCUAACCCAAGGCUCAAUAUUUCUUAAACUAUAUUCCAAACAACAACUUGCUUACAGAGUGAUCAGUGCCUGCAAGGCAAUUUGAGAGUUUUUGUUUUGGUUUGUUUUUGCCAUUACAACCAGAAUGUUAUUUCUUUCUUGCUCUGAUAAUGCCUGAUUAAAUGAAUUCAUUGUGGUUUUGUGCUGGAUAUGAUGCUAUUUCAUUUGUUUAUUUAUUCUAACAAUAUUUGGGAGAAAUUUCCUUAGUAGUUCUGCAUUAACAGCUUAAUCCUUGGUGGUUUAUUCUCCUAAAAAAUUGAAUACUCUUGUUACUUACCUUUCUUUAAGGAUAAGAACGACCCAGAGACAUACAGACAUUUUCUCCGUGUCCUAUAAGGGAACCCAAACUUCCCUGGAGAAGAGGGAAAAUGGAUUCAGUAGCAGAUCCCUAAAGGUUCUAAAAUAUUCUAAAAGGCUGCCACAACACGAUUCGCUUUUUCUACUUGGUGGAGGUCGUACACUCCAUUUCUCUCCUCCUUUUCAAAUCUUUCAUAAAGGUUUACCUUUUCAUGGAAAAUCUCUCCUGAAUCCCCCACCCCAAGCCAGCUGGAAACCAUUCUGCCAUCUAAUAUAAUAACUCAGCUAGAAACCAAUCUAUCUAGUAUUUCAACCCAAUACAUUUUCCCCCCUAUAAACCCUUACAUAGCAAUGACUGUGGGCCGGCCACGUGCUAGAUAUUCUGGACUAAAAGAUGAAAAAUGAUAUCCCUGCCUCAUCAUGCUUGUUUUCCAUGAAGAGUUGGGGAAAUGACUAAUGUGAUGAGGCUAUAGUAAAUUCAGAUACUAUCAGGGGCCUUAUGGAUUGAUUCUGAUAGGUUAAAUGUAACUAUAAUCAAUGACUUACAGUCAGGUGCAGUCUUGUAAGAAGUAUCUAUUUCAUGUGGACAGGGAGACCCUGGAGGCUAUAAGGCCUGGACCAGAAGCAUUGUAGCUUACAGUAUGGAUUUGGACACGUUCUUUAUCAACAUACCAAAAUUCUGAUGUGCUCUGAAACUUUUACAGAUGAGAAGUUUCUCAGCCUUGACUCUCCAAGUUUACUGUUUAUUGUUAUCACUUGGGGCACACCACACUGUGAUCUAUCCUAGCACAGGGCUGAUCUCUUGUGCUUCAGGGGUAGCCCCACCUGAAAGUGCACAAGGAAUGGAGGUGGCUGAACGAAGUUGUCGUUCAUUCUGAUUCCUUUCUAGACAACCACUCUGCUCUCUUCCCUGUCCAGAGGAUUUUUUUUUUUAAUUUAAACUUAAAAAAGUUAAUAAACUUAAAAUUUCACUUCUUGAAGGUAAAGUUAACAUUCUGCUGUAUAUUCCUCUAUUUUUUCUCAUGCAAAUAUAUAUAAGACAUAAGUUUUAUAUAUAUAUAUA